UGGCCAAGAACUCAACUGGAGAGCAUAACUGUAACUACUGACUGCACUACCCCUCCCAGUCACAUCCCCGCCACAUGGAAGGAGAGCUAAUUUGCCAAGCUGUCUGUCAAGACAUCUUCUCUGAGCCCAAAGCCUUAAAAGUCUCCAGUGGAUUCAUGAUGAAAACACCAGUGGAUCCUGCAAAGGGCAGCUCUGCUUAUCAUGGGAACUGCACUGUCUUGGGAAACAGCAGUGGAUCUCUAUAGCUGCCUUUAAUCUUGGCUCUCUGGUACAAAGUGGCUAGGUCACCUUUGCUAAGUAAUCAUUUAAGGAAUCUGUAAGUCAACGCUACUUUCAUGACCCUACUAAGGUUCGGAUGCCUUACCCAUGUUCACUCACGAAAGUACACUAGAGUAUCCUAAUGCCCAAGAUCUCAAGAAAGUUUGAAUGCAGAAGGACAUAGCUUCUCCUGCUGGAUACAUGCACCUAAAUAGGAGCCAUCUUCUAUGACACUGGCUCUCAU